GCGGGUAUAGUGAAAUGGCAUCACAACAGUCUCCAAAACUGUUAUUCUAGGUUCGAAUCCUAGUACCCGUG
rnacentral:tRNA from 2 species